CUGGAUUGUGCCGAGAUAUAUGGCACAGCACGCAAAGAGAAACAAAAUCAGCGGAAUCAUGCUGACCGUGCGAUUAGCCCACAGGGGAGCCUUGCCUUGCGGCGCAGCCGCGCCUCCACCCGGGCCAUCCGCCCGUCGUCGCUCUCGUGAUCGUAACCGAGAAGGUGCAAAAGACCAUGUAGGGCAAGGACCCUAAGCUCUGUCCGUAGGGAAUGUCCCCUAUUUUGGGCCUGUUUCCGGGCGAUUCCCCGGGCGAUAACGAUAUCCCCCAGAAAAGGGGCAAGGGGUAAGGCCCCCUCGUCCCUUGCCCCUGUCUGAGAAGGAAAAGAAAGCACAUCGGUCG
rnacentral:misc_RNA from 1 species